rnacentral:rRNA from 1 species
AUUGAACGCUAGCGGGAUGCUUUACACAUGCAAGUCGAACGAGCGGCGGACGGGUGAGUAAUGUAUGGGGAUCUGCCCGAUAGAGGGGGAUAACUACUGGAAACGGUAGCUAAUACCGCAUACCAUCGGAUGUGCCCAGAUGGGAUUAGCUUGUUGGUGGGGUAACGGCUCACCAAGGCGACGAUCCCUAGCUGGUCUGAGAGGAUGACCAGCCACACUGGAACGGAGACACGGUCCAGACGCCUACGGGAGGCAGCAGUGGGGAAUAUUGCACAAUGGGCGCAAGCCUGAUGCAGCCAUGCCGCGUGUAUGAAGAAGGCCUUCGGGUUGUAAAGUACUUUCAGCGGGGAGGCGUUACCCGCAGAAGAAGCACCGGCUAACUCCGUGCCAGCAGCCGCGGUAAUUC